CUACGGGGCGCUGCAGUAAGGAAUAUUGCGCAAUGGAGGCAACUCUGACGCAGCCAUGCCGCGUGCAGGAAGAAGGCCUUAUGGGUCGUAAACUGCUUUUAUUUAGGAAUAAACCCCCGAACGUGUUCGGGGCUGAAGGUACUAAACGAAUAAGCACCGGCUAACUCCGUGCCAGCAGCCGCGGUAAUACGGAGGGUGCAAGCGUUAUCCGGAUUUAUUGGGUUUAAAGGGUGCGCAGGCGGGCUAUUAAGUCAGUGGUGAAAUCCCGGGGCUCAACUCCGGAACUGCCAUUGAUACUGUAGUCUUGAGUUUGGUAGAAGUGGGCGGAAUGUAGCGUGUAGCGGUGAAAUGCAUAGAUAUGCUAAAGAACACCAAUCGCGAAGGCAGCUCACUAAGCCAAAACUGACGCUCAUGCACGAAAGCGUGGGGAGCAAACAGGAUUAGAUACCCCCGUAGUC
rnacentral:rRNA from 1 species